rnacentral:misc_RNA from 1 species
AACUGAUACUACCUGCGGGAACCUGCGGAAGGAUCAUUACCGAGUUUUCAACUCCCUAACCCUUCUGUGAACCUACCUAUCGUUGCUUCGGCGGACUCGCCCCAGCCCGGACGCGGACUGGACCAGCGGCCCGCCGGGGACCUCAAACUCUUGUAUUCCAGCAUCUUCUGAAUACGCCGCAAGGCAAAACAAAUGAAUCAAAACUUUUAACAAUGGAUCUCUAGAUCGGAAGAGCACACG